CACACACAUAUAUAUCUGCAUAUAUAUAUACAUACACAUAUACACACACAAAAACCUACACGUACCCACCUAUAUAUAGCUAUAUAUAUAUACCUACGCUUGUUCUUAUAACAGCGACACACAUCGUCUGCAUUCAUAGAACUCUGAGACUUGCUAACAAACCAGGCUGCAGAAGAAUUUACUCACAAACUCAAACGGUUGCGCUUAACUAUUUCUAUAUAAAUAAGGAGAAACAGACAGGCUUGAUUGUGAAUCAAGGCCACCACAUCCAUUUUUAAAAUCAUUUCAUCGAAUUAAAAUAGCGCCACCGCCAAAAGCAGACCUUCGCACCAUGAAGUCUUCGUGUAUUUGUCUCGUUCUUCUUCUCACUCUCUGCGUUUACCAAUCAAGUGCCAACUAUUAUGGUAAAAGAGGCGAAAAACUUGAUGGUUUUCGUGAAUAUUUGACACAAAAGCUGGAAGCAGACCAGAAUAAUCAAGAAAUGGAGGCCCGCGAAGUGUUGAAGACAAUAUCUACGUUGAUACAGCGAGCAAAACAUGUAAAAUGAAUUCGGAAACAUUCAACAACACGACACAACUCUCAACAGAAAUGGCACAUCAGAGACCAACCCUUUUCUCUCACCUCCACCUCUUCCUCUUCCUCCUCCUCUUAUACUUCAACUACCAUUACGACUACUACAACACUAGCAGCCUCAAGAGAGUCAUUUCCAGUAGAUGUGGUUCCAUGUUGGACACAGGAAUAUGGUGCCAUCGUUAUUUACUUCCUUGCUGUAACCAUUUUACAAUAGACAAUUUCUGACUCAUGCAUUAAGGAAUAAACCAAAAUUCAAUCAUA
rnacentral:lncRNA from 1 species